AUGGACUUAAGGCUCAGAUGGUGUUUCCUUGUCAUUAUCUUAAAAGGUGCCCAGUGUGAGGUACAGCUGGUGGAGUCUGGGGGAGGCUUAGUGCAGCCUGGAAAAUCUCCAAAACUCUCCUGUGCAGCCUCUGGAUUCACCUUGAGUAGCUAUUACAGGGCCUGGGUCCGCCAGGCUCCAGGAAAGGGACUGGAGUGGGUGGCAUACAUUAGUGAUGAUAGUAGUUACAUCAAAUAUGCCGAUGCUGUGAAGGGCCGAUUCACCAUCUCCAGGGAGAAUGCCAAGAACACCUUGUAA